rnacentral:rRNA from 1 species
UACGAAGGGGACUAGCGUUGUUCGGAAUUACUGGGCGUAAAGGGCGCGUAGGCGGCCCGCUAAGUCGAACGUGAAAUCCCCAGGCUCAACCUGGGAACUGCGUCCGAUACUGCCUUGCUUGAGCACUGGAGAGGAGACUGGAAUUUACGGUGUAGCAGUGAAAUGCGUAGAUAUCGUAAGGAAGACCAGUGGCGAAGGCGAGUCUCUGGACAGUUGCUGACGCUGAGGCACGAAGGCCAGGGGAGCAAACGGG